UACGUAGGGUGCAAGCGUUGUCCGGAAUUAUUGGGCGUAAAGAGCUCGUAGGCGGUUUGUCGCGUCUGCCGUGAAAGUCCGGGGCUCAACUCCGGAUCUGCGGUGGGUACGGGCAGACUAGAGUGAUGUAGGGGAGACUGGAAUUCCUGGUGUAGCGGUGAAAUGCGCAGAUAUCAGGAGGAACACCGGUGGCGAAGGCGGUUCUCUGGGCCGAUAUUGACGCUGAGGAGCGAAAGCAUGGGGAGCGAACAGG
rnacentral:rRNA from 1 species